AAUUGUAUAUGUAUAACUUGUAAAGAUCAUUUCUCACUACUCAAAUAUUGUUUCUUCACAGCUGUGGAAGCUAUGCGCUAUGCUCUCUCUCUCUCUCUCUCUCUCAGAAAUUAGAAUGAAGAGAGGUGUGCCCCUUUCUGCAGGACCUGUGGCCCUUAUCAUUCUAGUUGUGCGCUAGCUCUUCAUCAAACUUGCAGUGCCAAGGAUGCAAAUCGGCACUGUGUUCCUUCUUCCUGCGGCAAUAUCCCCAACAUUAGCUCUCCAUUUGGAUUGGAACACGAUCCUCCAAACUGCGGCAACCCAAGCAGGUCUGGUGCAUGAGCCAUCUUUUGCUGUUGUGCCAUUCACUGCAUCCUUUGGUGUAUCGGCCAGAGUAGCGUCCUUAAUACAUAUUAUCGAAAGUGGGGAAUCAGAGAAACCAUGGUUUUGUUGAACUGUGAAAAGCGAGUGAAUUCCCCAGGGUAUCUGAACACAUCUACUUGCUUUGGCAAUAGAUCGUAUGCUUCCAACUCAUCUUCAUCCCAACCUGAGGUCGGGUUUAGAUGUGUGAUAUAUAGCCAGAUGAACACAGGGGAUGUGGAGGACUUGUGCCAAGUAGAGCAUAUAUUCCAGACAUCGUGGUCAGUCCGCAAUCUGGUACUAGAAGACCCAAGUAGUAUUUCCUGCACAGACUUACACAACCUAUUGCUAUACGGUUUUGAGCUUUCUUGGAUGACCCCUACAGAUUGUGGAAAGUGCGGCAUCUUCGAGUUCAGCGAACAACGUCGCUUUUGCUGAAAAAGCCAUACGGGAAUCCUUGGAAUACCAUUUUGGGUUUACAAUGGUGAGGUAAAUUUUUAUCUCAAAAUUGAUCACAAUGAAAAGCUUGAUAUAUAUCUUUAAUUUAUGAAUAUAUCUUAUUAAUUAAUAUAUCAACA